UGGGAACAAAGUGGGCGAUCUCUGAGGUCCUUUUUUUUCUUCCAUUAAAAAAAGAAAAGACAUAAUUCGCAUACCAUAGGAUUCACCUUCUUUAAGCGUACCAUCCAAUGUUUCUUUGUGUAUUUGUGAGGUUGUGUAACUGUCACCAUCUUCGAAUUCCAGAACAUUUUGAUCCCUCCAAACCCAUUUGGACUCUCCCAUCUCCCAGCCUCUGGCAACCAGAAAUCUGCUCUCUGUUUCUAUGGAAUCACCUAUUUUAGACGUUUCAUGUAAAUGAAUCAUACAAUCUGUGGGUAUUUUGUAACUGGCUUCUUCCCUUGGUGUGAAGUUUCCGAGGACCAUCAUGAUGUAGCGUGCAAGGGCCAGAUAACAUCCCAUUGGGUGGAUGUGUCAUUUUGCUGACCCGUUCAUCAGCGGAUGGACUCGGAAGCACUUUCCACUCUGAGGUUUAUGGACGCAGGGUUCCCGUUCUGCAUCCGGCUGGGACACCAACAGGUGGGACUCCAGUUGGCCUCCAGCACCACACUUGCAGCUUCUUGGAUGACGUGGCUGUUGAUAGACGGCUGCCUCAACUGCACAUGCCAAAUGGAACUAAUUUCCCCUGACAGCCUCCCUCCUUCACGCUUCCCCACUUCUGCUAAUGGCAACACCAAUCUCUCAGGUCCAUGCAACAGUCUUCUUCUUCUUCUUUUUUUUAACCCCUCCUUCUUCUGCAUAGUAACUCACAUGCCAACCUGUGUAGACCCUACCUCGACUAUACCAUUUCCUCCCAUUGUCAUGACCGAUUUCAAGCCUCUUGGCUGUCAGUGUAGGUUUUCACCAGCUUCCCCAUUUGCUAACUGUCCCCUUUCUACUCAGUGUGAUUCAGUUGCUGGAUUUAUCCUUUUUAUGUGCAGCUGUGUCCAAACCUGUCCCGGGAUCAAACGGCUGAAAUGAAAUGCAAAUUUCUAACCCUUGGUCCAGCGUAAAUAGCUUGCAAUUUAGUAAAGGAAGAAAGGCAGAUAAGUGAUAGUCAUACCCUUGCCUUCGCUAUUUGAUUGCAAACAUCUUUAAGGGAAGAAACUAUUUCCACAGCAGGGUGAGAAAGACAAGGCUUUGGUGGAAGCCAGGCCCUCUCUUGAAGCCUACCUAUUCCAUCAGGGACACGAGAAUCACCCCAAGCUUCCAUCACCUCAUUUGUGAAUAAAAAAAAAAGGAGAAAAACUACUUACCUCUUGGGGUGCUUGUGAAGAUGAGACGUAAGGUACAUAAGGGGACAACACCUGACGUGUAGCUUGUACACAAUGAACUGUGGCCCCUGCUUUCGUCCUCCCCGAGAUGCUGCACACUGCUCUGCAGAGCGGGCACCCAAUACUCGGACUGCUAAAUGGAAAUGUGGGGAUUUGGUGGGAUACAGGGGGAAGCCCCAACUGCGGAAGGAGUCAGGGAAAGAGAACAGUAGCUGGCAGUUGCAGAGAAUGAAAAGAGGGAGCUUGGAAACACGAGCAAGACAUGGAUGGACAGGUACGUUCUGGGCUGGCCUGAAGGCAAAGGCUGAGGCAGGACUACCUGGGGGCAAGGUGCGGGGGGCAGGGAGGAGGCUAAGCCUCACUCGGGUGAAGGGCCAUGAUGGGUAGGAGAGGGAAAUCAAGUUGGCCAAAGAAAUCAUGAACAGCUCAGAAACUAAGUAGAGUUGGAUCUCCCCGUGGGAGUCCCCACAGAGCCAUUACGGUUCUUGGGCUGACAAGUGACGGGAGGAGCAGGAACCCACGCUCAUGCUGGUGUUUGCCCAAAACGACCCGGCCACGCUGGGGAUAGAGCAAGGAGCACACCAGAAAGACAUUUUGAGUGCUGGGGGGCUCAGUGGUUGAGCAUCUGCCUUCGGCACAGGGCGUGAUCCUGGAGACCCGGGAUCGAGUCCCACGUUGGGCUCCCUGCAUGGAACCUGCUGCUCCCUCUGCCUGUGUCUCUGCUUCUCUCUGUGUGUCUCUCAUGAAUAAAUAAAUAAAAUCUUAAAAAAGAAUACAUUUUGAAAGAAAAAAGCAUUACAGGCCUUCCCUAGUAACAAAAACGAUAAACGAUCCUGAACUUUUGCCUCUUUCCCCGAAGGCCAACAUUUUAUUUUUUCCCUCCAAACAUCUUCAAACACCUUGUUCCUCCAAUCCUUUCUUUUCUGAAACAAAGCUAGAAAUAAACUUGACCGAUUAGUCAGGAAACCCUAUCAGUCGUGGCUGUCCAGGUACUCCGACCCAAGAUAGAAAGAUUCCGGGUUAUCUUAAUCUGCCUACCUGUGCCCAGGCUUAAUUGCGAUGCGGCGCUUCCCUGAAGAGACAGGAAGAAGUUGAGCAUGUCAGGUAAUCAAUCAAAACUCACAUUUACAGCUCCAGAACCUUCCCCCACACUCCUAUUAGAGUACAGAUACCCCACAGGAGGCAAACAUUAGGCUCCGUAGGUACUGCAGCCAAAUAUCACUGGCUGCCCCCAUCAAAUUAGAAUGUGGCAAAGAGGCCACUUUCUAAAAGGAAAAAGAAAAAGGUCAAGAAAUUUUGAGGCCUUUUUAAAAAAGAUUUUAUUUAUUUAUUUGAUAGAGAGAGAGAGCACAAGCAGGGGGAGCAGGAGAGGGAGAAGCAGACCCCCCCCCCCCCCCCGAGCAAGGAAGCCCACACGGGGCUCGACCCCAGCGCCCUGAAAUCAUGACCUGAGCCAAAGGCAGACACUUAACCGACUGAGCCACCCAGGCGCCCCAAAUUUGAAGCUUUUACUUUCAAUAGGUGGCAAGGCAUAGGGAGAGUUUUGUGCCUCUUUUCCUUCCACUGGAGCUGUUUAUAAAUAUUUGAUUGCAUGAAAGCCUCCAAGUUCUCUGGGACUCAUUCUUGCUGGCUGGGCCCGUUUUGCUGCUGCUGCACUUGCUGGCUAAAUAAUCAAUCCAGCUACCUCAGGUUCCGGGCACUCAACUUUUGUGAAUUUGCCAAAUUUCAGAAGCCUUUCAGAAGAGGCCAUCAAUCAGGACACGAGAGGGAAUGGAGGUAAGCUCUGUCAGUCUCAGGCUCGCUUUGAGCACAUAUACUAAAAUUGGAAUGAUCCAGAGAAGAUUAGCACGGCCCCUGCGCUAGGAUGACACACAAAUCUGAGAAGUGUUCUAUAUUAAAAAAAGAAAAAAAAAAAAAAAAAA
rnacentral:lncRNA from 1 species